rnacentral:rRNA from 1 species
AGAGUUUGAUCCUGGCUCAGGAUGAACGCUGGCGGCGUGCCUAAUACAUGCAAGUCGAGCGAACGGACGAGAAGCUUGCUUCUCUGAUGUUAGCGGCGGACGGGUGAGUAACACGUGGAUAACCUACCUAUAAGACUGGGAUAACUUCGGGAAACCGGAGCUAAUACCGGAUAAUAUUUUGAACCGCAUGGUUCAAAAGUGAAAGACGGUCUUGCUGUCACUUAUAGAUGGAUCCGCGCUGCAUUAGCUAGUUGGUAAGGUAACGGCUUACCAAGGCAACGAUGCAUAGCCGACCUGAGAGGGUGAUCGGCCACACUGGAACUGAGACACGGUCCAGACUCCUACGGGAGGCAGCAGUAGGGAAUCUUCCGCAAUGGGCGAAAGCCUGACGGAGCAACGCCGCGUGAGUGAUGAAGGUCUUCGGAUCGUAAAACUCUGUUAUUAGGGAAGAACAUAUGUGUAAGUAACUGUGCACAUCUUGACGGUACCUAAUCAGAAAGCCACGGCUAACUACGUGCCAGCAGCCGCGGUAAUACGUAGGUGGCAAGCGUUAUCCGGAAUUAUUGGGCGUAAAGCGCGCGUAGGCGGUUUUUUAAGUCUGAUGUGAAAGCCCACGGCUCAACCGUGGAGGGUCAUUGGAAACUGGAAAACUUGAGUGCAGAAGAGGAAAGUGGAAUUCCAUGUGUAGCGGUGAAAUGCGCAGAGAUAUGGAGGAACACCAGUGGCGAAGGCGACUUUCUGGUCUGUAACUGACGCUGAUGUGCGAAAGCGUGGGGAUCAAACAGGAUUAGAUACCCUGGUAGUCCACGCCGUAAACGAUGAGUGCUAAGUGUUAGGGGGUUUCCGCCCCUUAGUGCUGCAGCUAACGCAUUAAGCACUCCGCCUGGGGAGUACGACCGCAAGGUUGAAACUCAAAGGAAUUGACGGGGACCCGCACAAGCGGUGGAGCAUGUGGUUUAAUUCGAAGCAACGCGAAGAACCUUACCAAAUCUUGACAUCCUUUGACAACUCUAGAGAUAGAGCCUUCCCCUUCGGGGGACAAAGUGACAGGUGGUGCAUGGUUGUCGUCAGCUCGUGUCGUGAGAUGUUGGGUUAAGUCCCGCAACGAGCGCAACCCUUAAGAUUAGUUGCCAUCAUUAAGUUGGGCACUCUAAGUUGACUGCCGGUGACAAACCGGAGGAAGGUGGGGAUGACGUCAAAUCAUCAUGCCCCUUAUGAUUUGGGCUACACACGUGCUACAAUGGACAAUACAAAGGGCAGCGAAACCGCGAGGUCAAGCAAAUCCCAUAAAGUUGUUCUCAGUUCGGAUUGUAGUCUGCAACUCGACUACAUGAAGCUGGAAUCGCUAGUAAUCGUAGAUCAGCAUGCUACGGUGAAUACGUUCCCGGGUCUUGUACACACCGCCCGUCACACCACGAGAGUUUGUAACACCCGAAGCCGGUGGAGUAACCUUUUAGGAGCUAGCCGUCGAAGGUGGGACAAAUGAUUGGGGUGAAGUCGUAACAAGGUAGCCGUAUCGGAAGGUGCGGCUGGAUCACCU